rnacentral:rRNA from 1 species
GUAUUAAAGGCGAUGCUGCCCAGUGAAAAAUUAAACGGCCGCGGUAUCCUAACCGUGCAAAGGUAGCAUAAUCAUUUGUCUAUUAAUUGUAGACCUGUAUGAAAGGCAAAAUGAGAGCCCGACUGUCUCUUAUAACAAAUCAAUUAAACUGAUCUCCUAGUACAAAAGCUAGGAUACUAACAUAAGACCAGAAGACCCUGUGAAGCUUUAAUUAACCUAUUAAAUCCAAUAAUACCUACUUUCGGUUGGGGCGACCUUGGAAUAAAAAAGAACUUCCAACCUAUGACUCCCUCAUAAAAAAGGCAAACAAGCCGACUCUAGACCCAGCACAGCUGACUAUUGAAACAAGUUACUCCAGGGAUAACAGCGCUAUCUUCUUUAAGAGCCCAUAUCAAAAAGAAGGUUUACGACCUCGAUGUUGGAUCAGGACACCCCAGUAAUGCAACCGUUACUAAAGGUUCGUUUGUUCAACGAUUAACAGUCCUACGUGAUCUGAG